rnacentral:rRNA from 1 species
UACGUAGGGGGCUAGCGUUGUCCGGAAUCAUUGGGCGUAAAGCGCGUGUAGGCGGUCCGGUAAGUCCGCUGUGAAAGUCGGGGGCUCAACCCUCGAAUGCCGGUGGAUACUGUCGGGCUAGAGUGCGGAAGAGGCGAGUGGAAUUCCUGGUGUAGCGGUGAAAUGCGCAGAUAUCAGGAGGAACACCGGUGGCGAAGGCGGGUCUCUGGGCCGAUACUGACGCUGAUGUGCGAAAGCGUGGGGAGCAAACAGG